CGGCUCGCCACUGACAACACUGUAAUCAAAGAUGAUUCUAUGAUGAAUACAUUAUUAUUAAAAGAUGAGCUCAACGUUUUUAUUGGUGAAUCAAAUUAGAAUGAUUUAAUCAUACAGUGUUUUACAGUGGUGAAGUCAGCUUUAUAUUAAAGAUUCAGACUUUACUCUUCAAACCUCUUCAACGGAACAUGCAAGGUUGACUAGGCUACCGGGGGCGGCAGGUAUCCUAGUGGUUAGAGUGUUGGGUCAGUAACCAGCAGGUAUCCUAGUGGUUAGAGUGUUGGGUCAGUAACCAGCAGGUAUCCUAGUGGUAAGAGUGUUGGGUCAGUAACCAGCAGGUAUCCUAGUGGUAAGAGUGUUGGGUCAGUAACCAGCAGGUAUCCUAGUGGUCAGAGUGUUGGGUCAGUAACCAGCAGGUAUCCUAGUGGUAAGAGUGUUGGGUCAGUAACCAGCAGGUAUCCUAGUGGUUAGAGUGUUGGGUCAGUAACCAGCAGGUAUCCUAGUGGUAAGAGUGUUGGGUCAGUAACCAGCAGGUAUCCUAGUGGUUAGAGUGUUGGGUCAGUAACUGAAAGGUUGCUGGAUUGAAUCCCCGAGCUGACAAGGUAAAAAUCUGUCAUUCCUCCCCUGAACACGGCAGUUAACCUGCUGUUCCUAGCUAGUUGAUGGAAAUAAGAAUUUGUUGUUAACUGAAUUGCCUAGUUAAAUAAAAGUUAAAUAAAAGGAACCACAUCCCACUAAUAAAUAUAAAUAACUUUUUGUAUUUUUAAAAAACUCUUUUAUAUUUUUAAUGAAUUUGAAUUGACUUUACCUAAAAUUUGCUUCCCUAAAA
ensembl:lncRNA